CCUUAUUAGGCAUUUUUCGAUAGGCACCUCUUUGCACAGAAUAGGCCGAGGUUUGUUUUGAUUGAUGAUAGAAGUUUGUAGCUGUUAACGUUGAAGAGUUACAGGAUUUUGAAUUUUAAGAAUUUGACUUCAAGAUAUCUUGGCCAAACAUCUGAAUGCAGUGGUUGUACAGUUAAACGUGUUUAUAUACUUUGUAAAAAAAAUGGUAUUUCUGGCAUGACUAUAAAAUGCUUAUAUUAUGUCAAUGACUUUAUAUUAAAGUUUUUAUUUAGCUUAAUUUUAUGAUUUUGAUAUUUGUUUCUUUCUGGAUUUUUGCCCAUCUCUCCUCUACAGUAUUUAACAGCCUGGUCUGCAAAACAUCAAUAAUAUUAUAUAGUUUAAUUUACUGUUUUUAUCACAAUUCUGUUAAUUAACCUAUACAAACUUCGCAGAUGGCUUAUAUACCUGGUUUCCUUUUUAGUUCUUACCCCCGCCUUUUUUAAAUUUAACAGUCUGGUCUGUAAAUUACACAUAUUUAUCACAUGAUAUUUUUUGUAGUUUUAAUUACUGUUUUACCAUGGUUCUGUUUUUUUUUUAAUUUAAUGCAACUUCGCCAACAAUGGCUUAUUUAAAACUGGUUUCUUUUUAGUUUUACCCCCGUCUUUCUCUAUUUAACUGUCUGGUCUGUAAAAUACACACCUUAUCACGUGAUAUUUUUUGUAGUUUUAAUUACUGUUUUAUCACAGCAAUUUAAUGCAACUUCGCCAAUGACUUAUUUAUAACUGGUUUCUUUUUAGUUUUACCCCCGUCUUUCUCUAUUUAACUGUCUGGUCUGUAAAAUACACAUAUUAUCACAUGAUAUUUUUUGUAAUUUGAAUUAUAUACUGUUUUAUCACAGUUCUUUUUUUUUAUUAAUUUAAUGCAACUUCGCCAAUGGCUUAUUUAUUACUGGUUUCUUUUUAGUUUUACCCCCGUCUUUCCCUGUUAACAGCCUGACCUGUAAAAUACACAUCAUAUCACGUGAUAAUUUUAUAGGUUUUCUUCUUUUAAGUUCUAGUGACGUUUAUAGUUACUUAUUUCUAGUUACGUGAUAGGAUUUCUUUUUCAUUUUCAUGUUAGUUUUUGCCGUUAUUUUACCAAUGUUAUGUAUAUUUUACCAUAUAUGGAAAAAGUGAAAAUGGCGGCAUAAUGACGUCAGAUAUGAAAAAAAAAAUUGCAAAUGUC